UGGUUAAGCGCAGAAUGUUGUUACUAGGGUAGUGUGAACUCAACGCUUUGGGAAAUUUUUCGGUUAUUCAAACUUACAACUUUAGAUACGUUUGAUAGCGCAUAUUAUAUUACAAUUUAGUUGAUUUUAUAAAAACAUGUUUUAUUUUCUUUUGUGCGUGUAACAAAAAAAUCAUAAGUCUGAAGGCUGUAGGCAUUCAAUUUUAAGCAAGUCUUUACCAAAAGAUAUACUUUUAAACAGGCAUUUAAAUAUUAAGCAUUUUCAUGGAUUUAUUUAUUUUUCUUUCAUCCUUCCGUUUCAUAAAAAAAAAAAAAAUUCAACCGACACAGUAUUCAAGAUGUCGGAGAUCUGGAGUAUACUGAUCUUGCACUGAUUAGAGAAAAUUGGAUCGAUUUUCAAUAGUGGACUUUAGAAAAUCUCAUGGCUGUUAAAAAAUUAUAAUAAGAUAAAAUUUACCCCUUUUUUUACUACUAAAUAGCUAGCCUCUGAAAUGUAAUUCUAUAGUCAUGAACUACGAGAGUAUCUCCAAAAUACUAUGAGUUAGCAGAAUAAU